GCCUGCCCAGUGACCCUGUUUAACGGCCGCGGUAUCCUAACCGUGCGAAGGUAGCGUAAUCACUUGUUCUCUAAAUGCGGACUAGUAUGAACGGCAUCACGAGGGUUAUACUGUCUCCUUUUUCUAAUCAGUGAAACUAACCUCCCCGUGAAGAGGCGGAGAUAAAAUUAUAAGACGAGAAGACCCUAUGGAGCUUUAAACAACAUAGCACUUGCCGUAUAUUAUGAAAUUUCCGAAUCUCUCAUUUACCCGAGCAAUAUGACUAUUAGUUUUUGGUUGGGGUGACCGCGGAGUAUAACUUAACCUCCAUGCUGAAAGAAUUUUAAGCUAAGAAUCACCCUUCUAAGCAUCAAUAUUUGACCCAAUUGACCCAAUACAUUUGAACAACGAACCAAGUUACCCUAGGGAUAACAGCGCA
rnacentral:rRNA from 1 species